rnacentral:misc_RNA from 1 species
GCACUGUUGACUGGGAAAGUAAUUUUUAGCUACGAAAAUAAUCCUGGACUGCAUAAAGAGACAGCAAAAAGGAUGCAUUUUAAGUUGAUACUUGGAACUUCAAUUAGCAUACUUGCAGUUCUGUUAGUUCUGUUGAUAGGAAGUCUAGUGCACCUGCGUAAUCUGCAAAAGAAGACAUCGCAUCAGAAAAGCAAUAACCAAGGUAGCUCUUUACGCACCGGUAUUAAACCUUCAACUGCUUACUCUAUUUCUCGGGGUUGGCAUCUCGUGGAUGAAGGUGUUUCGUACUAUAUUUCAUUCUCUGAGCUUGAAGAAGCUACCAAAAACUUUUCCAGGAAAAUUGGAAAAGGAAGUUUUGGGACUGUCUACUAUGGC